rnacentral:rRNA from 1 species
GACGAACCGUGCGACCGUUGUUCGGAAUCACUGGGCGUAAAGCGCGCGUAGGCGGACCUGCAAGUCGGGGGUGAAAGCCCGAGGCUCAACCUCGGAACUGCCUUCGAUACUGCGGGUCUCGAGUCCGGGAGAGGUGAGUGGAAUUCCUAGUGUAGAGGUGAAAUUCGUAGAUAUUAGGAAGAACACCAGUGGCGAAGGCGGCUCACUGGCCCGGUACUGACGCUGAGGCGCGAAAGCGUGGGGAGCAAACAGG